rnacentral:misc_RNA from 1 species
GAUAAGAACGCAGCGAAAUGCGAUAAGUAGUGUGAAUUGCAGAAUUCCGUGAAUCAUCGAAUCUUUGAACGCACAUUGCGCCUUCUGGUAUUCCGGAAGGCAUGCCUGUUCGAGAGUCAUUAACAACCGUUUCGAUCCCUUUCUUUCAGAAAUUACAAAGAGGAAAAGGGUUUGGUUAUGGUGGAGGAGGGAAAGGGAGCGUUUAGCCUGUAAAAAAAGAGGCUGUGUUCCGCCUCCCCCCCAAAAUUGUACAGGCGGUCGUGUGCGCCCACGCAUCGAGGUGUUGUAAAAGCUGCCACGGCACUUUUCACCUGUGCAGUGCGAGAUUGGCCAGCCGGUUUAAAAACCCCUCCAAACAAUCAAAGGUUGACCUCGGAUCAGGUAGGGAUACCCGCUGAACUUAAGCAUAUCAAUAAGCGGAGGA